GGUCCACUAGCUCAAUGGUAGAGCAACUGACUCUUAAUCAGCAGGUUCAGGGUUCGAGCCCCUGGUGGAUCACCU
rnacentral:tRNA from 2 species